AAUUUUUACAUUUUUCAGUCAGUUCACAUUUUUUUUUGCGCGUCUGCUGCUCGUAAGCGGGAAAAAAGGAAAAGAUCCUCACAGCCUCUUAAAUCUCCCAGUUCUCUUCCCACCUCCUAAAUCACUUCUUGUUCUCAAGAAGCAAUUGUCAAAACGAUAGGGAGAAUACGCCUCUCAAUUUUUGAUUUUGAAAACACCUCUGAUUUUUGGUUUCUGAAAUGGAUAAUGUCGAUAUCAGCCUAAAGUCAACCCAUCAAGCAGGAAAAGGAAAUGCCAAGUAAGUGGAGGAAAAAGGUUUGUAAUCUAUUAUCCAGUCACAACCUUCGUCGCUCACCCUUUCUCUCUCUUUUUGUGUGCUAUCUCACACACUCAUAACCAUUGCAUAUCUGAGUUUGUAUCUAUAAUCUCCUUUUUCGAUCUGAGAAAAAGAGGAAAGUGAAGAUGAAGGGGUGAGUAAGGUAGAGAGAUAAGCUUCUAAGGCAGAGAGAUAAGCUUUUGGAUCUGGUAUAUGAUACAGUUUUUCAGAUCCAAAGACUAAAAAAAGUCCUUAUUAUUUAAAUUGUUUUGAACUCAGAUUCAAUAUGUUUUUUGUUUGAUUGAGAUAGAAAUACUAUUUUGUAUAAAGUAAGCUGAAGGCAUGUUUGUCAGUUAGAUAUCGAUGCGUAUUUAAGUUCUUAUAUGUUUAUAUUAACUACUUAUGGAUAAUAUAUCUGAUAUAUGUGUUUA